rnacentral:tRNA from 1 species
GGGAAUGUGGCGUAAAUGGUAAAGCGGUCGGGAACAAAGUUCCCGGCGAUUGUGAGUUCGAUUCUCACCAUUCCA